UAAAUACUUCCUCCGUCCGGAAAAACUUGUCCCUCAAAUGAAUGUAUCUAGCACCAAGUUAGUGCUAGAUACAUCUAUUUGAGGAACAAGCUUGGGACAAGUUUUCUCGGACGGAGGGAGUAAAUA
rnacentral:pre_miRNA from 1 species